rnacentral:tRNA from 2 species
GGGCCAGUAGCUCAGUUGGCUAGAGCGCCUCGUUUGCACCGAGGAGGUCGGGGGUUCAAUUCCUCUCUGGUCCACAA